GCGGUGGUAGUUUAGCAGAAGAAUGCUGGCUUUCCAAGCAGAAGACCCAGGUUUGAUUCCCAGCCAAUGCA
rnacentral:tRNA from 1 species